GUAGCUCAGUUGGUAGAGUGCUUGCCUAGCACACAUGAAAUCCUGGGUUCCAUCCCCAGC
rnacentral:tRNA from 1 species